rnacentral:misc_RNA from 1 species
GUAGGUGAACCUGCGGAAGGAUCAUUACCUUUUAGUACAGAAGCGUUGUGUGGGUUGAGUUGCGCUUGGGGAGUUGGCUACCUUUAGCUGGCUCCUUGAGUGGCAACUCCCCUCAUAAUACUCCCUGUAUAUCACCCUUGUCUUUGGCGCACCAUUGUUUCCUUGGCGGGCAUGCCCGCCAAUAGGACAAUCUUAUAACCUUUUUUAAUUUUCAAUCAGCGUCUGAAAUAAUUUUAAUAAUUACAACUUU